CCUACGGGAGGCAGCAGUGGGGAAUAUUGGGCAAUGGGCGCAAGCCUGACCCAGCAACGCCGCGUGAAGGAAGAAGGCUUUCGGGUUGUAAACUUCUUUUCUCAGGGACGAAGCAAGUGACGGUACCUGAGGAAUAAGCCACGGCUAACUACGUGCCAGCAGCCGCGGUAAUACGUAGGUUGCAAGAGUUAUCCGGAUUUACUGGGUGUAACGGGAGUGUAGGCGGGACUGCAAGUCAGAUGUGAAAAGCACGGGCUCAACCUGUGGCCUGCAUUUGAAACUGUAGUUCUUGAUUACUGGAGAGGCAGACGGAAGUCCUAGGGUAGCGGUGAAAUGCGUAGAGAUUAGGAGGAACACCAGUGGCGAAGGCGGUCUGCUGGACAGCAACUGACGCUGAGGCGCGAAAGCGUGGGGAGCAAACAGGAGUAGAUACACGAGUAGUC
rnacentral:rRNA from 1 species